UGGGGAAUUUUGGACAAUGGGGGAAACCCUGAUCCAGCCAUCCCGCGUGUGCGAUGAAGGCCUUCGGGUUGUAAAGCACUUUUGGCAGGAAAGAAACGUCGCGGGUUAAUACCCCGCGAAACUGACGGUACCUGCAGAAUAAGCACCGGCUAACUACGUGCCAGCAGCCGCGGUAAUACGUAGGGUGCAAGCGUUAAUCGGAAUUACUGGGCGUAAAGCGUGCGCAGGCGGUUCGGAAAGAAAGAUGUGAAAUCCCAGAGCUUAACUUUGGAACUGCAUUUUUAACUACCGGGCUAGAGUGUGUCAGAGGGAGGUGGAAUUCCGCGUGUAGCAGUGAAAUGCGUAGAUAUGCGGAGGAACACCGAUGGCGAAGGCAGCCUCCUGGGAUAACACUGACGCUCAUGCACGAAAGCGUGGGGAGCAAACAGGAUUAGAUACCCUGGUAGUCCACGCCCUAAACGAUGUCAACUAGCUGUUGGGGCCUUCGGGCCUUGGUAGCGCAGCUAACGCGUGAAGUUGACCGCCUGGGGAGUACGGUCGCAAGAUUAAAACUUAAAUGAAUUGACGGGGUCA
rnacentral:rRNA from 1 species